rnacentral:rRNA from 2 species
CCCCUCAAGAUGAGAUUUCCCAAUUCGUAAGACCCCUUGAAGACGACGAGGUAGAUAGGUUGGAGGUGGAAGUGCAGCAAUGCAUGGAGCUGACCAAUACUAAUCGGUCGAGGGCUUAUCCUA